rfam:Mesocricetus auratus contig007062, whole genome shotgun sequence.
AAAAGUGAGGUGUUUGGACUAUGAUAUUAGUCGUCCCAUUGUUUUCAAGGGUGAUGAAGCUGAUCUGGCUGGGUAGGCAGAUGUCCUCUUUCUCCAUCAUACCACUCUGUGAGCUCUGUCAGCGACUCCCUCCCCCUACAAAGGAAGACCAUGAUUCAGCUAAGUGUAUAAAAGAAGCUACCCUUGCUUCCUAGAACCUUAGACAAGCUUUCAAGAUAACAGUUUUCUUCAUUUUGUAAAUGGAAGGUUGGUCUUGCAAAUCAAGGAAUAUUCUUU